rnacentral:ncRNA from 1 species
GGACACUCCUCCCUAACGAGGAGCUACUAUCUGGAAGGAUAGA